CCUACGGGAGGCAGCAGUGAGGAAUAUUGGUCAAUGGGCUUACGCCUGAACCAGCCAAGUCGCGUGAGGGAAGACUGCCCUAUGGGUUGUAAACCUCUUUUGCCAGGGAGCAACGCCGGCUACGUGUAGCCGGACUGAGAGUACCUGAAGAAAAAGCAUCGGCUAACUACGUGCCAGCAGCCGCGGUAAUACGGGGGAUGCGAGCGUUAUCCGGAUUUAUGGGGUUUAAAGGUUGCGUAGGCGGAAUGCCAAGUCAGCGGUAAAACCGCGGGGCUCAACCUCGCUCCGCCGUUGAAACUGGCGUUCUUGAGUGGGCGAGAAGUAUGCGGAAUGCGUGGUGUAGCGGUGAAAUGCAUAGAUAUCACGCAGAACUCCGAUUGCGAAGGCAGCGUACCGGCGCCCAACUGACGCUGAAGCACGAAGGCGUGGGUAUCGAACAGGAUUAGAUACCCUAGUAGUC
rnacentral:rRNA from 1 species